rnacentral:rRNA from 1 species
UACGGAGGGUGCGAGCGUUGUCCGGAAUCAUUGGGCGUAAAGGGCGCGUAGGUGGCCCAGUCAGCGUGCGGUGAAAGCUCGGGGCUCAAUCCCGGGUCGGCCGUGCGAACUACUGGGCUGGAGCACUGUAGAGGCAGGCGGAAUUCCGGGUGUAGCGGUGGAAUGCGUAGAGAUCCGGAAGAACACCGGUGGCGAAGGCGGCCUGCUGGGCAGUUGCUGACACUGAGGCGCGACAGCGUGGGGAGCAAACAGG